rnacentral:lncRNA from 1 species
AGAGAUCGCAAAUUUGUAAAUCAUGUUCAAUAUAAAAUGUGGUUGAGAUAUUGGAGAAGAUCGCAAAUUUGUAAAUCAUGUUCAAUAUAAACUGAUGAUUUAUGUGGUUGAGAUAUUGGAGAAGAUCGCAAAUUUGUAAAUCAUGUUCAAUACUUGGUCGAGAUAUUGGAGAAGAUCGCAAAUGUCGAGAUAUUGGAGAAGAUCUCAAAUGUGUAAAUCAUGUUCAAUAUAAACUGAUGAGGGUGAUUAGUAGUUAGUUGAUUGGAACCAUUUUGAGAUAUGCUUGUCUUCCUUUCGUCAAGCUAGGGUUUGUCUUCCUCUCGUCAAGCUUGGGUUUGCUCCUAGAGUUAGGAGCUUUCGGUUUCCUUAACAUAUUCCUUUUUUUUUUUUAAAUGUAAAGUCUGGAUUAAUAUUGAUAAACGUGCUCGCCGCAAUUUGCAUUAUUGAGCUUCUUUCAGUUUCUCUAACAUAUUUCCUUUUCAUAUAAAGUUUGAAUUAAUAUUCCUAAACCACUAAAGUUAG